GGGUGUUUGGUCUAGUGGUAUGAUUCUCGCUUUGAAUGUAAGAGGUCAUAACUUUAAUUCUCAUAACACCCC
rnacentral:tRNA from 1 species